AACGAACGCUGGCGGCAGGCCUAACACAUGCAAGUCGAACGCCCUAGCAAUAGGGAGUGGCGCACGGGUGCGUAACGCGUGGGAAUAUGCCCUUCACUGCGGAAUAACGUUUGGAAACGAACGCUAAUACCGCAUAAUGACUCCGGUCCAAAGAUUUAUCGGUGAAGGAUUAGCCCGCGUUAGAUUAGCUAGUUGGUGAGGUAAUGGCUCACCAAGGCGACGAUCUAUAGCUGGUCUGAGAGGAUGAUCAGCCACACUGGGACUGAGACACGGCCCAGACUCCUACGGGAGGCAGCAGUGAGGAAUAUUGGACAAUGGGCGCAAGCCUGAUCCAGCCAUGCCGCGUGAGUGAAGAAGGCCUUCGGUUGUAAAGCUCUUUCAGAUGUGAAGAUAAUGACGGUAGCAUCAGAAGAAGACCCGGCUAAAUUACGUGCCAGCAG
rnacentral:rRNA from 1 species